CUACAUUGAAAUCUCCAGGUCAGCUAUACAUUUCUAAAGACUUAAAGGAAAGUUCAUUGAAACCAGCUGGGCUUGGUUUUAUCUUCAGCUGCUGGCUGAUCUGGCUAGACCAAGAUAGUCUCACUCAUGUAUCUGCUGGUUGGACAACUUUAAUCUGGAAAACCUUAAGUAACCAGAGGGUCCAAGCAGCAUGGAGUACGGAGUGAAAGAGGACCAUGAAAGGAUGGGAACAGGAGUACUAUUUCCUAGGCUGGACCCUAAAUGUAUAAAAAUGAAGAAAGCUAACUGAGUGAGUGAGCAUACAAAAAGGAUGCAUUCAUCCAUCUCUGCUCUUAACUGUGAAAAUUGUGAGCCAGUGUUCAAGUUCCUGCAUCAGCUUCCCCUCAGUGAUAGGCUGCAACCUGAAACUGGUCAUCAAGAUUCACUGAGUGGAUCUCCUUUGGUCAGUCUCUAAAGGGAUCAAGCUCUGAGACAUGGAUGGAUAUAUGGAACAACUAGUAUAAUUCAUAGGAAGAGCAAUGAGUGAAUUCCAUUUGGUGGCCCAGGCUUCUCUUCCCACAGUGACCCAGAAUCAACUCUGGUCUGAAUACACCUUGGUUCCCCCUGACCUUUGCAGGACCACGUCUUCCUCAUCCUGCAGGUGGUAAUGGACAUCUCUUUGCAGUUCCCAGCCUGCUUACCUCCUCACCAGAGCAUCCUCAGUUUCCCUCUGAGCCAUGAAAUCAGAGUCCUGUGGGAGAGCAUCCCAUUGCUUGAGGGAGCGCUAUGCUUCUGUUGUCUAGCCAGAAGAAGCCUUGAUUGGGUUUCCACACAGAAGGCCAGAAGCUUCCAGAAGAAUAAAGACAAGAGAUAAGCAAUGUCAAUCAAUCAUGGAGAAGAAUUAUUGGCAGAGUUAAUUGCCAUGUUGUCCUCACCUCUUCGUGUUUCCUGUGUGUGUAUAUGAAGUUUGAAUGAAUUUCUCUGGAUAGAAGUAGUUGAGAACCAAGAUUCCAACGUGAGGAGCUGUGUGAAGACAAGGCUACGGGAAGACGGACAUGGCAGGGAUGAAACCUCUCAAAGCAUCUGCAGAAACCAGCCUCUCUUCUGCAGAGGUAGCUGUUUCUGGCAAGAGCCUCGUUGUCAGCUGAUAAUGGAUGCUCAGACAUCUACAUCAUUGGCAGAGACAGAGUAAGGCCUGCCGAGGGCUUCCCCACUGAGAGAGCAAUCCAAGAGUCUCUGGGGAUUGAAGGGGAAACAAGAGAAAACAGAUGAGGAACGUUGAGAACCGACCAUCAGCAAGUAAAGACAUCUUACAAGGAGGGAACUCCAACCAUUCUGGUACCCAGAGCAAGGAUGAUGUCUUCAUCUCUUAUACAGAGGCAGAGAUGGGGGUGGGUGGGUGAAGGCAGUGCUGAGUGAAGCCCUGUGCUUGACAUGUGUGUGGCCUUGUUCCAGAGCCCUCGCUUUGAGCCCUUACAAAGCUCAACGGAUGCUUCAGUCCCAUAGCCACCUGGCCUCCUGAUCUAACAGGACAAGCCUGGGGUGGGUGGCACAGGUGACAGGAUCCAGGCACCUCUGUGCAAGCACUGCACCCCGACUCUGGGCUAGUCAUCAACCCUCUUUGAGUUCCUGGUCCCCAUUGGAGAGGUUUGGUGCUGUUCUACCAUUUCCUAGCUUUGUGGCUUUGGAGAACAGUUCCUCACGUCAAUUAACACAUUAAAGAAACCUUAGAGAAGGCACCAAAAUGUGUUGGUGUCAUAUUAAGGCAAGAAAAAGAGUUACUUCAUUUUGUAUUACUUUUGAC